rnacentral:rRNA from 1 species
GAUGAACGCUGGCGGCGUGCCUAAUACAUGCAAGUCGAGCGAACAGACGAGGAGCUUGCUCCUCUGACGUUAGCGGCGGACGGGUGAGUAACACGUGGAUAACCUACCUAUAAGACUGGUAUAACUUCGGGAAACCGGAGCUAAUACCGGAUAAUAUAUUGAACCGCAUGGUUCAAUAGUGAAAGACGGUUUUGCUGUCACUUAUAGAUGGAUCCGCGCCGCAUUAGCUAGUUGGUCAGGUAACGGCUUACCACGGCUACGAUGCGUAGCCGACCUGAGCGGGUGGUCGGCCACCCUGGAACUGAGACACGGUCCAGCCUCCUACGGGAGGCAGCAGAAGGCUAUCUUCCGCAAUGGGCGAAAACCUGACGGAGCAAAGCCGCGUGAGUGAUAGAGAUCUUCGGAUCGUGAAACUCUGUUAUUGGGGAAGAACAAAUGUGUAAGUAACUAUGCACGUCUUGACGGUACCUAAUCAGAAAGCCACGGCUAACUACGUG